rnacentral:lncRNA from 1 species
AGCGUUUAUUGUGGAUGGGGCAGUGCGGACGCUGAGGGGCUGUGAUUGCACGGGAGACCACGGCCCCAACCUCCUCGAGGGACAUUUUUCUGCCCAUAGCCACGCCCUUGACGAAAUUCAUUUUGAAAACCACGCCCUAAAUGAAAUUUCAUCUUCGGAACGCCCUUAAGGGGCGGGGCCUGCCACAGAAUCCAAUCGCGUCACAGAUGGGGACUAGCGUUUCUCUGAUUCGCGGUUGGAGGACGCGGCCGUUCCCGCCCACCCUGCUGUCUUCACCAAUCCGAAACCUCAAACUCAACCCCCCCCCCCCCUUCCACUUCCGGCAAAUUCACUCGCCCGAAAUGGAAGCGCUGUGCUUGGUUUUGGCCGCCGUCCCUCGCCGUCCUCACGUUCUGAGGUCAUGGUUCCUGCGUCACCGCAUGGCUCCCUGA